GAUCAUGGCUCAGGAUGAACGCUAGCUACAGGCUUAACACAUGCAAGUCGAGGGGAAACGACAUCGAAGCUUGCUUUUGAUGGGCGUCGACCGGCGCACGGGUGAGUAACGCGUAUCCAACCUGCCCACCACUUGGGGAUAACCUUGCGAAAGUAAGACUAAUACCCGAUGAUAUCUCUAGACGACAUCUGAAAGGGAUUAAAGAUUUAUCGGUGAUGGAUGGGGAUGCGUCUGAUUAGCUUGUUGGCGGGGUAACGGCCCACCAAGGCGACGAUCAGUAGGGGUUCUGAGAGGAAGGUCCCCCACAUUGGAACUGAGACACGGUCCAAACUCCUACGGGAGGCAGCAGUGAGGAAUAUUGGUCAAUGGGCGAGAGCCUGAACCAGCCAAGUAGCGUGCAGGACGACGGCCCUAUGGGUUGUAAACUGCUUUUAUAAGGGAAUAAAGUGAGUCUCGUGAGACUUUUUGCAUGUACCUUAUGAAUAAGGACCGGCUAAUUCCGUG
rnacentral:rRNA from 1 species